AUAAUUUUUAUUGUGAAGGAAAUUUCUUACAACAUUGUACGUACUAAAACUAUUUAAUGGGUGUAAACGUUUAUAAAAAGAUCAUACAAUUUUCAAUUUGUUACAUGCUAAAAGGAAAAAGUAUGACUAAACUUAUAUGUUGUGUUUAUGUUAUAAUCCUCUUUCUUUCUGUAUUACUUGCUGUUAGUGGUAAGGCAUUUUUUUUUCUCGUAUUUUUAAAAUUUGGGUCAUGCUAAACAGUGCCCCUGGGGCACUAGUUAAGCAUACUAAAAAAGGAAACAAAUGAUAAAGUUAAUGAUGAGAGAGAAUAACUUUUCACAUUAUUAAAACAUUGAAUGCACAAUUUACGAGAUAAAACUUCUAUAUUUGUAUCCUUAACUAGUGCCCCUGUUUAGCAUUUUCCUUAAAAUUUUAUCUUUGAAUUUUACAUUUAAGCAACACUCAUUUAUUCUUGUUUUAAAUUACAGCUGAUUUUUGUGAGGAACACUAUGAUUGCAUAUAUAAGGAGUGUUCUCAUCGUUUUGCGAAGUGCAUUUAUAAUAAGUGCCAAUGCAUGUAGUGAAUCAGUUGAGUUUAAAUUAGUUUUAUGUUACUUCUAAUUCUAUAAUAAUUUUAUUUUCACAUCAUAAAGAUAUUCAUAUGAUUAACGAUUUCUCAUGCUCUUGAACAUAUUUCUUUGACAGACUCAAAAGCAUAUUAAUUAUAUCAUGCAAAUGUGAUGACGAUGAAUCAAGAGCAUGGAAAGAAUUCAUAUUUUAAAUAAAUUAGAAUGGACUUUACUUUUUAUUUUAAUGUGGUUGUAAUAAUUCUUAGUUUGUUUUUAAUUUAGUUGAUGUCAUGUGAAGUGAAAGAACAUUAAGUAAUUUAGUUGUUUUUAAUUUAUGUGAAGUGAAAAAGAUAUGUAUGUCCAAUAUGAGACUAUAAUGGUGUCACUUAUGACCUAUUUAUAUUUAUGGU
rnacentral:lncRNA from 1 species